UCCGUAAGGGCUCGAUACAGGUGGUGCAUGGCUGUCGUCAGCUUGUGUCGUGAGAUGUUGGGUUAAGUCCCGCAACGAGCGCAACCCUCGUCUUAUGUUGCCAGCACGUCAUGGUGGGGACUCAUAAGAGACUGCCGGGGUCAACUCGGAGGAAGGUGGGGAUGACGUCAAGUCAUCAUGCCCCUUAUGUCCAGGGCUUCACGCAUGCUACAAUGGCCGGUACAAAGGGCUGCGAAACUGUAAGGUGGAGCGAAUCCCAAAAAGCCGGUCUCAGUUCGGAUUGGGGUCUGCAACUCGACCCCAUGAAGUCGGAGUCGCUAGUAAUCGCAGAUCAGCAACGCUGCGGUGAAUACGUUCCCGGGCCUUGUACACACCGCCCGUCACGUCACGAAAGUCGGCAGCACCCGAAGCCGGUGGCCCAACCCCUUGUGGGAGGGAGCCGUCGAAGGUGGGGCUGGCGAUUGGGACGAAGUCGUAACAAGGUAGCCGUUACCGGAAGG
rnacentral:rRNA from 1 species